GACGAACCGUGCAAACGUUGUUCGGAAUCACUGGGCUUAAAGGGCGCGUAGGUGGCCAACUAAGUCAGACGUGAAAUCCCUCGGCUUAACCGGGGAACUGCGUCUGAUACUGGAUGGCUUGAGUUCGGGAGAGGGAUGCGGAAUUCCAGGUGUAGCGGUGAAAUGCGUAGAUAUCUGGAGGAACACCGGUGGCGAAGGCGGCAUCCUGGACCGACACUGACGCUGAGGAGCGAAAGCCAGGGGAGCGAACGGG
rnacentral:rRNA from 1 species